rnacentral:misc_RNA from 1 species
AAGUCGUAACAAGGUUUCCGUAGGUGAACCUGCGGAAGGAUCAUUAACACGUAUCCAACGUUAAACCCCCCCGUGAACGUACAGUCCGGGUUUACUUCCGGCUCUUCUCGACUUACAGAAAUAUUGGUUGCAAUCCCUGGUAAAUCAUCGCCGAACAGUUUUGAUUCAGGGACUUCUGCGAAGAGUGUGCUUGUAGCGCGAGGCAAGUGGCCUGGCAUCCUUGUCUGAAAGUGUCAAGGGUGGCGCAGUCACGAUCGCUAGAGGCCGACACGGCCGGCGACCGGGUCACCGGGCUCACGCCCCUUAAUAACCUUUGCAUGAAAACGGGCCUGCGCUUAAUUGUGCGGCCAUAAACCGAACAACUGUUAACAAUGGAUAUCUUGGUUCUC